UGGGGAAUUUUGCACAAUGGGCGCAAGCCUGAUGCAGCCAUGCCGCGUGUAUGAAGAAGGCCUUCGGGUUGUAAAGUACUUUCAGCGGGGAGGAAGGUGUUGAGGCUAAUAACCUCAGCAAUUGACGUUACCCGCAGAAGAAGCACCGGCUAACUCCGUGCCAGCAGCCGCGGUAAUACGGAGGGUGCAAGCGUUAAUCGGAAUUACUGGGCGUAAAGCGCACGCAGGCGGUCUGUCAAGUCGGAUGUGAAAUCCCCGGGCUCAACCUGGGAACUGCAUUCGAAACUGGCAGGCUAGAGUCUUGUAGAGGGGGGUAGAAUUCCAGGUGUAGCGGUGAAAUGCGUAGAGAUCUGGAGGAAUACCGGUGGCGAAGGCGGCCCCCUGGACAAAGACUGACGCUCAGGUGCGAAAGCGUGGGGAGCAAACA
rnacentral:rRNA from 1 species